CCUCGUGGAAGGGUAGUGUUUAUUAGAUACAGAACCAACCCACCUUCGGGUGGUCCYCAGGUGAUUCAUAGUAACCGAACGGAUCGCAUUAUGGCCUUUUGGUCGGCGAUGGAUCAUUCAAGUUUCUGACCUAUCAGCUUUCGACGGUACUGUAUUGGACUACCGUGGCAGUGACGGGUAACGGGGAAUUAGGGUUCGAUUCCGGAGAGGGAGCCUGAGAAACGGCUACCACAUCUAAGGAAGGCAGCAGGCGCGCAAAUUACCCAAUCCUGACUCAGGGAGGUAGUGACAAGAAAUAACAACACUGGAAAUUAUAUUUCUAGUGAUUGGAAUGAUGGGAAUCCAAACCCCUUUCAGAGUAACAAUUGGAGGGCAAGUCUGGUGCCAGCAGCCGCGGUAAUUCCAGCUCCAAUAGCGUAUAUUAAAGUUGUUGCAGUUAAAAAGCUCGUAGUUGGAUAUCUGCUGGGAGCAGCCAGUCCGCCUUAACGGGUGUGCACUUGGUGAAUUCUGGCAUCCUCCUGAUUGGUGUCAUCAUCACUUCAUUGUGUUGGUGGCAGCUGUCAGGACUGUUACUUUGAGAAAAUUAGAGUGUUUCAAGCAGGCUUGUUGCCUUGAAUACUGCAGCAUGGAAUAACAAGAUAGGAUUUCGGUUCUAUUUUGUUGGUUUCUAGGACUGAAGUAAUGAUUAAUAGGGACAGUUGGGGGCAUUCGUAUUUAACUGUCAGAGG
rnacentral:rRNA from 1 species